rnacentral:rRNA from 1 species
AUGGGGUCGAGGCCGCCGGAGGCCGGUGGGGGCGACGGGGCAUGGAGGCUGCCGGGGGCAACGAGAGACGGGUCGUGGAGCCUGCCGGGCGAGAUGAUGGCCAGCGUGGCCGGGGCCGGCCGGCGAGAUGGCGGCGAGCAAUGUGGUAGCGGGCGCCGGCGGGCCUACGGUGGCGACAGGGAAGUGGCCGCGGCGCCAAGCGAAGUGGUUGCCGACGAGGCCAUGACCGGCCGCGGGGGCCAAGGUGUUGACCAGUCAGCGUGCUUGAUUUGGAUCGAGUGGGAGAGAAACGAGAGCUGA